GAUGAAGAACGCAGCGAAAUGCGAUAAGUAGUGUGAAUUGCAGAAUUCAGUGAGUCAUCGAAUCUUUGAACGCACAUUGCGCCCCUUGGUAUUCCAUGGGGCAUGCCUGUUCGAGCGUCAUUUGUACCUUCAAGCUCUGCUUGGUGUUGGGUGUUUGUCUCGCCUCUGCGUGUAGACUCGCCUCAAAACAAUUGGCAGCCGGCGUAUUGAUUUCGGAGCGCAGUACAUCUCGCGCUUUGCACUCAUAACGACGACGUCCAAAAGUACAUUUUUACACUCUUGACCUCGGAUCAGGUAGGGAUACCCGCUGAACUUAAGCAUAUCAAUAAGCGGAGGA
rnacentral:misc_RNA from 1 species